GACGGGUCCGGUCGUCCA
rnacentral:snRNA from 1 species